GCGCACCUUUGUGUCGCACUUCGAGGGACGCGCGGUGGCCGGCCACCUGACGCGGGUGGCUGACCCCCUACGCACUUUCUCGGUGCUGGAGCCGGGAGGACCCGGAGGCUGCGCGCAGAGGCGUCGCGCUACUGUGGAGGACACAGCCGUCCCGGCCGGUUGCCGCGUCGCUCAGAACGGUGGCUUCUUCCGCAUGGGGACUGGCGAGUGCUUGGGGAAUGUGGUGAGCGACGGGCGGCUGGAACAGUUGCAGAGUCAUCUGGCACAAACCAUUUCAAACAGUCCGGCUGAGGCUAUGCCUUCAGGAGCGUGAGGGAUCGGAUGCAGUCUGUGGAGCUCCAGACGGCGGCUGGUGCUGAUAGACACCUUGUCUGGUUGACUGUCUGAGGUACCUGUCUGAGGAGGACGUCCUGGACACGGUGAACCCAUUCGUGCAGCUACUGAGCGGAGUGGUAUGGCUCAUCCGUAAUGGAAGCAUCUACAUCAACGAGAGCCAAAUCACCGAGUGCGAUGAGACGCAGGAGACAGGUUCUUUCAGCAAAUUUGUGAACGUGAUGUCAGCCAGGACAGCCGUGGGUCAUGACCGUAAGGGGCAGCUUAUACUCUUCCACGCGGACGGACAGACGGAGCAGCGUGGCCUCAACCUGUGGGAGAUGGCAGAGUUCCUGCUGAAACAAGACGUGGUCAAUGCCAUCAACCUGGAUGGAGGCGGUUCUGCCAC
rnacentral:lncRNA from 1 species